rnacentral:misc_RNA from 1 species
AAGAAGUCUGAAAACUUUUUUUCCAAUCUCACUUUGGUCCUCUUCAUUGAAAUAGACUUAGUUUAUCAAGUUAUUAAAAUUUCUGUUUUCUUUUUUUGAUACAUCAGAAAUUUCUUAAGGAGAGGAGGGGGAAGAGGGGGGAAGGGGGGUGUUAGGUUCGAAUCAUUGAUCUCACCUACUACCAAGCAGGCACUCAAUCAUUAGGCUAGUAACCCAAUAAAUAAAUGGAUUAAAAAAAUGAAGUACAUAAAAGGAUAGAAGGAGAAAAGAAUCAAUAGGAUUAGUAUUAAUGGUUAGCCAAUAGAUCAUUUGCAUAUUUGAACAAAAGUUUGCCAGAUUAUGGAUUAUUAUCAUCUGAUUUCUUUUUGAAGACAUUUUUUUAAAAGACAAAUAUUGAAGGAAGUGUCCUCUUUCAUGUUAAUUCAUGGUGUAACAACUAAACCAAUUCAAGUUGAUGCUCAUCUUGACUAAUUUGGAAUUCAGACUAAAAUUAUUGUGAUUUGGGAUUGGCUUUGCCUAGUCUCAUAGUGGAAGUGCAUUUAUUUGAUGCCAAGAAAUGUUCAGUUUUCAUCAGAAUUACAAACGCUAUUUUUUUUCAAUCUGUUCUUCGGAUACUAAUGUCUUGUUUUUUAGCAGGUGGUUGCAGGUUUCCGUAAAAGGCAGGCAUAAAGUGACUCAUUGAAUCAAGUAGCAGAAUAUCAAUCUCCCAAGUUCCAACUCUCGUGGGUUUUACUAUUUUUCUUUUUUCUUCAUCUUGAGCAGCAUGAAAUAAGAUUUUCUUUUUAAUUGUUGAACAAUGAGAAGUAAGAAGUACUGCACAUUGAACACCAUCCAAGUAUGUGAAUAUUUUCUUCUAUGCUGAGUAAACACUUGUAGACAAUUGAUGCUUUUGAAAUCCGCUACUUCCAUUCCUUUGCCUGGUCAAAAUUUCAUUUAUAAUUAUUAGCUGCUUUCACCUGUUUAAUUAUCAGAGACUGG